rnacentral:rRNA from 1 species
AGUAUAAGCACUAUACUGUGAAACUGCGAAUGGCUCAUUAAAUCAGUCAUAAUUUAUUUGAUAGUACCUUUACCUGGAUAACCGUGGUAAUUCUAGAGCUAAUACAUGCUAAAAACCUCGACUUCGGAAGGGGUGUAUUUAUUAGAUAAAAAACCAAUGCCCUUCGGGGCUCCUUGGUGAUUCAUAAUAACUUAACGAAUCGCAUGGCCUUGCGCCGGCGAUGGUUCAUUCAAAUUUCUGCCCUAUCAACUUUCGAUGGUAGAAUAGUGGUCUACCAUGGUUUCAACGGGUAACGGGGAAUUAGGGUUCUAUUCCGGAGAGGGAGCCUGAGAAACGGCUACCACAUCCAAGGAAGGCAGCAGGCGCGCAAAUUACCCAAUCCCGAUACGGGGAGGUAGUGACAAUAAAUACUGAUACAGGGCUCUUUCGGGUCUUGUAAUUGGAAUGAGUACAAUCUAAAUCCCUUAACGAGGAACAAUUGGAGGGCAAGUCUGGUGCCAGCAGCCGCGGUAAUUCCAGCUCCAAUAGCGUAUAUUAAAGUUGUUGCAGUUAAAAAGCUCGUAGUUGAACCUUGGGCCUGACCGAUCUGUCCUCCUAAUCGAGCGCACGGAUUCGGUUGGGCCUUUCCUUCUGGGGAGCCCUAUGCCCUUCACUGGGCGUAGUGGGGAACCAGGACUUUUACCUUGAAAAAAUUAGAGUGUUCAAAGCAGGCAUUUGCUCGAAUACAUUAGCAUGGAAUAAUAGAAUAGGACAUCGGUUCUAUUUUGUUGGUUUCUAGGACCGCUGUAAUGAUUAAUAGGGAUAGUCGGGGGCGUCAGUAUUCAAUUGUCAGAGGUGAAAUUCUUGGAUUUAUUGAAGACUAACUAUUGCGAAAGCAUUCGCCAAGGAUGUUUUCAUUAAUCAGUGAACGAAAGUUAGGGGAUCGAAGACGAUCAGAUACCGUCGUAGUCUUAACCAUAAACUAUGCCGACUAGGGAUCGGACGGUGGUUUUUUAUGCCCCGUUCGGCACCUUACGAGAAAUCAAAGUUUUUGGGCUCUGGGG